rnacentral:rRNA from 1 species
CUACGGGAGGCUGCAGUGGGGAAUAUUGGACAAUGGGCGAAAGCCUGAUCCAGCCAUGCCGCGUGUGUGAAGAAGGCCUUCGGGUUGUAAAGCACUUUCAGUGGGGAAGAAAGCCUUGGGGCUAAUACCCUCGAGGAAGGACAUCACCCACAGAAGAAGCACCGGCUAACUCCGUGCCAGCAGCCGCGGUAAUACGGAGGGUGCGAGCGUUAAUCGGAAUUACUGGGCGUAAAGCGCGCGUAGGCGGUCUGAUAAGCCGGUUGUGAAAGCCCCGGGCUCAACCUGGGAACGGCAUCCGGAACUGUCAGGCUAGAGUGCAGGAGAGGAAGGUAGAAUUCCCGGUGUAGCGGUGAAAUGCGUAGAGAUCGGGAGGAAUACCAGUGGCGAAGGCGGCCUUCUGGACUGACACUGACGCUGAGGUGCGAAAGCGUGGGGAGCAAACAGGAUUAGAUACCCUUGUAGUC